rnacentral:rRNA from 1 species
AUGACGUUGAUAGGUCGGGUGUGUAAGUGUAGCGAUACAUUGAGCUAACCGAUACUAAUGAACCGUGAGGCUUAACCUU